rnacentral:lncRNA from 1 species
UGGGGCGGUGGUUGCUGGCGGGUUGCACCGUUGUCGGAGAAGUCUCAUGCCGGGACAUCGGAAGGGGUGGCUCUGCGGACGCGGGUCCUGCGUACUGCGUCCCAGCCUCAUACACGGUGGCAGUGGGUGGGUCGUGCUCUGGGGGCUCUUCUGCUGCUCACCACUCCUCCCAGGCCGCGGGUGACCCGAGCAGCCCGGUUAGCGUCCCUGCAGCCGCACGGCUGGAGCGGGUCGGGCAUCCGCGCCGUCGAGCAGCGCCGUCCGCUGCCCCGUGCCCACGGCCGCCGCCCGUGCGCUGCCCCCGGG